rnacentral:rRNA from 1 species
CCUACGGGUGGCAGCAGUCGAGAAUCAUUCACAAUGGGGGAAACCCUGAUGGUGCGACGCCGCGUGGGGGAAUGAAGGUCUUCGGAUUGUAAACCCCUGUCAUGUGGGAGCAAAUUAAAAAGAUAGUACCACAAGAGGAAGAGACGGCUAACUCGGUGCCAGCAGCCGCGGUAAUACAGAGGUCUCAAGCGUUGUCCGGAAUCACUGGGCGUAAGGGGUGCGUAGGCUGUUUCGUAAGUCGUGUGUGAAAGGCGCGGGCUCAACCCGCGGACGGCACAUGAUACUGGGAGACUAGAGUAAUGGAGGGGGAACCGGAAUUCUCGGUGUAGCAGUGAAAUGCGUAGAUAUCGCGAGGAACACUCGUGGCGAAGGCGGGUUCCUGGACAUUAACUGACGCUGAGGCACGAAGGCCAGGGGAGCGAAAGGGAUUAGAUACCCUAGUAGUC